AUUGAACGCUGGCGGCAUGCUUUACACACGCAAGUCGAACGGUAGAGGGGGCAACCCCUUGAGAGUGGCGAACGGGUGAGUAAUGCAUCGGAACGUGCCCAGUCGCGGGGGAUAACGCAGCGAAAGCUGUGCUAAUACCGCAUACGAUCUCUGGAUGAAAGCGGGGGACCGAAAGGCCUCGCGCGAUUGGCGCGGCCGAUGUCAGAUUAGGUAGUUGGUGGGGUAAAGGCUCACCAAGCCAACGAUCUGUAGCUGGUCUGAGAGGACGACCAGGCACACUGGGACUGAGACGCGACCCAGACUCCUACGGGAGGCAGCAGUGGGGAAUUUUGGACAAUGGGCGCAAGCCUGAUCCAGCAAUUCCGCGUGCAGGAAGAAGGCCUUCGGGUUGUAAGCUGCUUUUGUACGGAACGAAAAGGUCUGGGUUAAUACCCUGGGCACAUGACGGUACCGUAAGAAUAAGCACCGGCUAACUACGUGCCAGCCGCCGCAGUAA
rnacentral:rRNA from 1 species